AAAGGCGUGUUUGUCCAAAUUACUGUAAAAGAAGCUGGAUUCAAAACAACCAAACAUCACUGACCUGGAAGAAAAAUAAAACAAAAAUGUGUAAAUAUAAAGUUUACAGCAUUAGUUACUUGACAGGAAAAACAUGGGAAAUAAACUACAGGAAAAAAUCCAAAAACGUGGUCUUUGAAAAAGACUGCAGGUGUCUAUUUAAAGGAAAGAAAGAGGCAAUAUUAGUAUCUAAGAGAAUAACUAAAGCUGGGAAGAUAAGAGGUCAAUUCUACCUUCUACCAAUUUCAAAAAACAACAAACAAAAAACAAAAAGAUUGAUAAAAAAGUUGAAAAAGGAUAUAAGAAUAAAAAACAAAAAAAAACAUAAGUUGUACCAGCAAGUCAAAGAAAAAAAUUAUGAAAGAGAAAACAAAAAGUGAAUAAGGAAUACGAAUUUGCUUUUAAACUUUUUUUUAACCAUUUUUUUCAAUCUCCCUUUUCACAUGCAUUUUAGAAGGGGCGUGACCUUUUUUGGGACGUCGGGAUCAGGUGUUUCUAAGCUCACGAUUUCAGGAUUGACCCUUUUGGGAUCUGGGAUUUUUUUUUUCAAAUUUUGGGCAUUCAGGAUUUUUUUUUAAAUUCGGGGACCUCUGGGUAAUUUGUUUUUACCCCAGGAUUUUGGAAUCUGGACCCCUCCAACUCUCCCUCAUUUCAAUAUGGGAAGUUUGUCGAUUUAAUAUAUGCCAAUAAAAAUAAUGAAGAUUU